rnacentral:sRNA from 1 species
AGAUUCUUACUAUGAUAGAGGAUAUGAUCGUGGGUAUGACAGAUAUGAAGACUAUGAUUACCGAUACAGACGAUCACCUUCUCCUUAUUAUAGUCGAUAUAGAUCACGAUCAAGAUCUCGUUCCUACAGCCCAAGACGCUAUUGAUAACGGAAUGGUUGCAAUUAAGGACAUUUUUUUUCCUCUUUUUUUUUUUUUUUUUUUAAAUUCUGAGAUUUCCCCCAAGCUUUGGAUUCUUCCUACUCCUUAAGAAAAAAACUUUGGUUUAUUUAGCAUCUACACUUUUGUCAAUUGUGUUGCUGUUUUCCACCCAUUUUAUUAUACUCUUAAAGAUGUAAUUGUUGUCAUUUUAAACAGUUAAACAUCUUGAGUAUAAAAAGAACCCCAAUGUUAUGUUAUGCUUUAUAAAUUUUUUUUUUUUGCUUUUACCUAGAUAAACUUCUAGCUAAUCAAAUAAG